rnacentral:lncRNA from 1 species
UUUCAACAUUGGGUUUUUCCUUCACAGGACGUUUUCAUGAAUUUCUGGCAUUUAUAUACAGAUAUAUGUUCAUGUUCUCAUUCGGCAGUCUGUUUUGUAUACGUGGCUGUUACGGCUGUUCUCGUCUAAACUUAUGUUGUGUCACUGUGACUGUAUAUAAUUUGCUACUGUUCCUGUGUUAGGAAAAAUGCAUGUCUACGUGGGAUAGAGCGAUUAUCGUUUUCAGAUGCCCACAGUUGAAAUCAAUAUAUUGUGGGACGGUGCAGCUAGUUGUUUUCAGAUUGCCCGAAUAUUUAUAUAUUUUGCAGCAUUGUAUAAAUGGAAUAUUCAAUGUGCGGCUACCUCCGAUGUAUGCCAUGAUUAUUCCGCUGCGUUGUGUGAUGUAUGCCAAAUUCAUUUCGUUGUGACGUUUACAUAUAUGUCAAUACUUCUAACGUUUUGCAGUAUUGUUAUAGAAUAUCAAUUAGAUUAUUCCACUGCUUUUUGUCUUACAUGUUAUUUUAUUAUUGUACAGUAUGUUUUUGUUAGGUUUAUAGCCCGUUUAGCUGGUAUGUCGAUAUCAAUCGGUCAAGCCACAGUUAAUAAGCAACUCAAAUUUUGCUUGUCUGCGUUCUUUAGUCGUUCCUUUCAGCACAUCCAUGCUACUAGCCCAAGCAUCUCAAGUACAAAUGGCCGCUGAAGAAAACGUCAAUCAUCCACCCUUCAUGGUUGCCAGUACACUGACAGUGAAAUGUUAUGGCCAACUUGGUACUUCCUAUCCUUCAACUAUUUUUGUCCGCACCACCCGCUCUAAUAUAGAUUUGUGGUUUGUGACUUGGCAGUACGCGGUGGCGCCAAAUUAAAAAUUUUAUACACAAUUGCGCUCUUUGCGGCCAAACCACAUACUACGAUGCCAGGGGGGUUAAAAGUCAUUAGGAAGCUUGAAUACGCGACCAAGAUGCCUAAUUCUGGUUAUUUUAUGACAAUGGGCUUCCAAUCUCUUGGCAACCUAGACAUUCUCCAUGCAUAGAAUAUAUCCGAUUGCAAAAUUUUAAUUUUCAUCCCCUCGAUUCUCCAGUAAUGGCGCCCCAACCGCUGUCAAGUCUCGACCUACCAACACCAGUCAAAAUAAAUAAAUUAAUUUAUUAAUGCAUUUACUGGGUGGACAUGAUGCGAAAUUGACUGUUUAUUCAUAUGCAGGUUUUACAUUUGCGAAUAUCGUUUCAUGCAAAUUAUAAUAAUCUUAUCUGCUGAACAAAACCAUGAAAUUGUGAGCACUAUAUUAAAUGUCUAGAGGAAUAGUUGCGUGUUCGCCUUUGGGUAUUGUUUAUACUAAACAAGCGCCGGAAUACAUUAUUUAUUUUCUCUAAAUUAUAUUGUUAAUUUUGGUAGUCAUUGCGAUAAACUACGCUCGUGCUGAUGUCGUACAUGCGACAUGUUUAAUUACUUUAAUAUACGGCUUCAGAAACGGUUGCUAAAACACAGCUAAAUAUUUCGCAUUAUGACUUCCCGACUUGGCAGCUUCGGAAUUAUCACCAAUGCCGCAUUCAUCGCUGAUUUCUUAUCUCUUUGCCAAUAUUUGGGAGUGCCAAUCCGUGAGCUCUCAUUCGCAAGAAUUGAAUUAGACGCUUUACGCAUGACAGC